CCUACGGGAGGCAGCAGUGAGGAAUAUUGGUCAAUGGACGAGAGUCUGAACCAGCCCAGUAGCGUGAAGGAUGACUGCCCUAUGGGUUGUAAACUUCUUUUAUAUGGGAAUAAAAUGUUCCACGUGUGGGAUUUUGUAUGUACCAUAUGAAUAAGGAUCGGCUAACUCCGUGCCAGCAGCCGCGGUAAUACGGAGGAUCCGUGCGUUAUCCGGAUUUAUUGGGUUUAAAGGGAGCGUAGGUGGAUUGUUAAGUCAGUUGUGAAAGUUUGCGGCUCAACCGUAAAAUUGCAGUUGAAACUGGCAGUCUUGAGUACAGUAGAGGUGGGCGGAAUUCGUGGUGUAGCGGUGAAAUGCUGAGAGAUCACGAAGAACUCCGAUUGCGAAGGCAGCUCACUGGACUGCAACUGACGCUGAGGCUCGAAAGUGUGGGUAUCGAACAGGAUUAGAUACCCGAGUAGUC
rnacentral:rRNA from 1 species